rnacentral:tRNA from 1 species
GGUGGCUCAGUUGUAGAGCACUUGCCUUGAAAGCAUGAGGCCCUGGGUUUGAUUCCUCAGCACACCA